UGAACGGCCACAUUGGGACUGAGAUACGGCCCAGACUCCUACGGGAGGCAGCAGUCGGGAAUAUUGCGCAAUGGAGGAAACUCUGACGCAGUGACGCCGCGUGCAGGAAGAAGGUUUUCGGAUUGUAAACUGCUUUAGACAGGGAAGAAUAAAGACAGUACCUGUAGAAUAAGCUCCGGCUAACUACGUGCCAGCAGCCGCGGUAAUACGUAGGGAGCAAGCGUUAUCCGGAUUUAUUGGGUGUAAAGGGUGCGUAGACGGGAAAUUAAGUUAGUUGUGAAAUCCCUUGGCUUAACUGAGGAACUGCAACUAAAACUGGUUUUCUUGAGUGUUGGAGAGGAAAGUGGAAUUCCUAGUGUAGCGGUGAAAUGCGUAGAUAUUAGGAGGAACACCGGUGGCGAAGGCGACUUUCUGGACAAUAACUGACGUUGAGGCACGAAAGUGUGGGGAGCAAACAGGAUUAGAUACCCUGGUAGUCCACACCGUAAACGAUGGAUACUAGGUGUAGGAAAUGAUUUCAUUUUCUGUGCCGUCGCAAACGCAAUAAGUAUCCCACCUGGGGAGUACGGCCGCAAGGUUGAAACUCAAAGGAAUUGACGGGGGCCCGCACAAGCAGCGGAGCAUGUGGUUUAAUUCGAAGCAACGCGAAGAACCUUACCAGGUCUUGACAUCCGUGUAAAGCCGAAGAGAUUCGGUGUGAGCUUGCUCAAUACGAGACAGGUGGUGCAUGGUUGUCGUCAGCUCGUGUCGUGAGAUGUUGGGUUAAGUCCCGCAACGAGCGCAACCCCUGUCGCCAGUUACCAUCAUUAAGUUGGGGACUCUGGCGAGACUGCCUCUGCAAGGAGGAGGAAGGCGGGGAUGACGUCAAAUCAUCAUGCCCCUUAUGACCUGGGCCACACACGUGCUACAAUGGACGGGACAGAGGGAAGCGAAGGCGCGAGCCGGAGCGGACCCCAGAAACCCGUUCCCAGUUCGGACUGCAGUCUGCAACUCGACUGCACGAAGCCGGAAUCGCUAGUAAUCGCGGAUCAGAAUGCCGCGGUGAAUACGUUCUCGGGCCUUGUACACACCGCCCGUCACACCAUGAGAGUUGAUAACACCCGAAGCCGGUGGCCUAACCGCAAGGAAGGAGCUGUCUAAGGUGGGACUGAUGAUUGGGGUGAAGUCGUAACAAGGUAUCCCUACGGGAACGUGGGGAUG
rnacentral:rRNA from 1 species